UACGGGGGGAGCAAACGUUGUUCGGAAUCACUGGGCGUAAAGGGCGCGUAGGCGGCCAGAUAAGUGGGGUGUUAAAUCUCCCGGCUCAACCGGGAACCUGCACCUCAUACUGCCUGGCUUGAGUACAGCAGAGGAGACUGGAAUUCCUGGUGUAGCGGUGAAAUGCGCAGAUAUCAGGAGGAACACCGAUGGCGAAGGCAGGUCUCUGGGCAUUAACUGACGCUGAGGAGCGAAAGCAUGGGGAGCGAACAGG
rnacentral:rRNA from 1 species